UGGCUGGUGUUCUAACGUAGACCCGUAAUCCGGGUUGCGGACAGUGUCUGGUGGGUAGUUUGACUGGGGCGGUCUCCUCCCAAAGAGUAACGGAGGAGCACGAAGGUUAGCUAAUCCUGGUCGGACAUCAGGAGGUUAGUGCAAUGGCAUAAGCUAGCUUGACUGCGAGAGUGACGGCUCGAGCAGGUGCGAAAGCAGGUCAUAGUGAUCCGGUGGUUCUGAAUGGAAGGGCCAUCGCUCAACGGAUAAAAGGUACUCCGGGGAUAACAGGCUGAUACCGCCCAAGAGUUCAUAUCGACGGCGGUGUUUGGCACCUCGAUGUCGGCUCAUCACAUCCUGGGGCUGAAGUAGGUCCCAAGGGUAUGGCUGUUCGCCAUUUAAAGUGGUACGCGAGCUGGGUUUAGAACGUCGUGAGACAGUUCGGUCCCUAUCUGCCGUGGGCGCUGGAGAAUUGAGGGGGGCUGCUCCUAGUACGAGAGGACCGGAGUGGACGCAUCACUGGUGUUCGGGUUGUCAUGCCAAUGGCACUGCCCGGUAGCUAAAUGCGGAAGAGAUAAGUGCUGAAAGCAUCUAAGCACGAAACUUGCCCCG
rnacentral:rRNA from 1 species